GCCGGUGCAGAACUGUACUGUUUUAGGACACCUGACAACCUCACCAUGUUGGUUAUUAUUUUCUGGCAGAGAAUUUCUGUUCCUUACCUGACACAUGCUGCUAGCCUGGAUGUCUGUGACCCUAAAGUGGAGAGCUACUGGACAGAAGCAUCUGGGGUGACAAAAACCACAGUCCUUGCUUGGAGGACUGCAAUGGUUCAGAGAGCUGAUGUGUAGAUGUGGCUGGGAGCUCUAGCUAUAUGAAGGAUCCCAAGUCUCAGGGGCCACUAGGCACUAAGUGCUGGAAUUCUGCUCAAAGGAAGCAAACCAGAUGGGAAGAGAAGAGAAAUCCCCACCUGCCAAGUGUCUCAUCAUUAUACAUGGCAAGUCUGUGCAUAUUGUGGAUGACUGGAGUAAUCAUCUGCAUGGAAGUCUCCUGAGGAAAACUCGUUAUUUCACUUCAUGUCUCAACAGGAUACAACUGGUUCAUGGUUGCACAUAGAGACUUAUUUUGGAUGUUUCCAAAGGCUGUUCUAUACCUUAUAAAUCUUAAUAUAGUUGUAAUGCUUGAUAAAUACUGCAUUUAGAUUUGAGCAUAAGAUUUGUUUCCCAAUUUGUAUGAACGGUAAAGAAAUACUCUGACCGCUUGACCACAUAUCUGGUCUUACAAUUUUCUGUGAUACAUUUGUAUUGCAUGCUGAGCAAAAUGUGACUUUUAAGAUGAAAGCAUGGUUUGAUUUUCAUACAAGAGUGACAACGACAGAUAGAAAGGGAUACAGAAAUGUCAAUCUUUAGAAUAUAGUGAGAACAGGCUACAUUUGUAUUAUUUCCUGUGCUUAAGUUUCAUUACAGUAAUUUUCCCAAUGAAUACAUUGCAUAGUAUGCUAUUUCCUCUUCUCAUUACCAUCUUUGUCAUGGAGAGGAGGUUAUAGAAUCUUAAUGAUUCAGUUAUUUAAACCUUUCUGAUAGUCUCUGUAUUUUGAAUGACCUCUCUGUUUCACCUCUUCCCUAAGGUUACUGAACGUGAGAAUAGGAGUUGCUUUCAAAUCAAAUUACUCAACAAGGAAAAGGGCAAGGUAGUUCAGAUCAUUAUUAUCACAAUUACAGAGAUUACAGCAAGGAUGAGGAAAAAAAAAAAAAGAAAAAGCACAAUCUGAAUCUUCACUAGCUUUCCACUACAAAGCAGAGCAAACAAUAGUAAUUAUUGUAUGUGAGUCUAAUGCAAAGCUCACUGGAAGUCACAGAUCCCCACAUACCAGUGCUAAGAGAUUGUCCAGGCUUCAGACACUAUCAAAUCAGAUGUAGUUCUGGAUUUGGGGUGAAAAAUCACAGUCCAAACCAUGGAUAAUCACUGACACUGUGAUCUUUAAAAGUUUUGCCAUCUUGAAAAACGUACAAAUGUGAUUGGUCAUGUCCCUUUGAAAUAUUUCAGGAACGAUAAUUUAUGAGACUUUUUAUUCAAAUGAGAGGAGAAGAACAGAUCCCUCUACAUUAGGAUCCAAGGUGCUGGCCAGUGACACGGAUUGAAAUGGGCUGCAGAC